AGUGAACGCUGGCGGUAGGCCUAACACAUGCAAGUCGAACGGCGGCACAGUAAGAGCUUGCUCUUACGGGUGGCGAGUGGCGGACGGGUGAGGAAUACAUCGGAAUCUACUUUUUCGUGGGGGAUAACGUAGGGAAACUUACGCUAAUACCGCAUACGACCUACGGGUGAAAGCAGGGGAUCUUCGGACCUUGCGCGAUUGAAUGAGCCGAUGUCGGAUUAGCUAGUUGGCGGGGUAAAGGCCCACCAAGGCGACGAUCCGUAGCUGGUCUGAGAGGGUGGUGAGGCCAACUGGGAGAGGGACACGGGGCCAGACCCCUAGGGGGGGCAGGAGGGGGGAAUUUUGGAAAAGGGGGGAAAGCCGGACCCAGCCAUGCCGGGGGGGGAAAGAAGGCCUUCGGGUUGUAAGGCCCUUUUGUUGGGAAAGAAAAGCAGCGGGUUAAUACCCCGCUGUUUUGACGGUACCCAAAGAAAAAGCACCGGCUAACUUGGG
rnacentral:rRNA from 1 species